rnacentral:rRNA from 8 species
UUGACCUCGGAUCAGGUAGGGUU